UGCAAAGCACAACCAGCUACAGACAACAAGUGGCAGACAGAGCGUGAUGCCACUUAUAGGCAGGCUACCAGACACUGUUUUUGAGUCACAUCGUUGUCUGUGUUUGGGGGCGUGUUUGGUGGGAAGGUAACCUGCACGCCACAUGCAGAACAGCUAGUCAGCUACAUGAUUGCUGGAUAUAACAAACUAACUUUUCAUCACUUUCCUGGAGCACAAGCGGACAGCUGAAAGGAACAUCGCGACUGUUUUUUUUUCAGUGUUAUUUUUUCGCUAAGACGAAACUCAACAAAAAGCCAUUUGCCAACACUAAAUAUCAAACAAAAGCCAGACAUUAUAUAGUAUUAAGUUGCUGUGAGCUACAGCCUACAUUGACCACUUCUAACCAGAGGCAGAACAUAAUGUAAUCUCAGAGAUUAUUCCUUUACAGCGCUGUGCAAUGAGUGAAAAUUUCAGAACUGAACCGGGCAGACAGCACUUUUCAUCAGACUCACCCCGGGUUAAUUAACUUAGGAUUCAACAC